rnacentral:sRNA from 1 species
AUUCAUUACAAACUCUAACAUGGACAUAGAUUUUCAUCUCUCUUCAGUAUAUAGCUAGGAGUGUAUUGCUGGGUCACAUGGUAACUCUAUGUUUAACUUUUUGAGCAGCAGCCAGUUUUCCACAGUAGCUGUACCAUUUUACAUUCCUCCCAGCAAUGUCCCCAUUUUUCCACAUUCUUGCCAACACUUGUUAUUAUCUAUCUUUUUUAUUAUACUUAUCCUAGUGGAGGCAGCAGUUGGGGACAGCUGUAGAAUUGGAAAUGGCCAAGAUGCUUGAGGAAAAUACAAAUAUCCUUAAAUUUGGAUAUCAGUUUACACAGCAGGGACCACGAACCAGAGCAGCUAAUGCUAUAACAAAAAACAAUGACUUAGUGCGUAAGAGACGAGUUGAAGGAGAUCACCAGUAAGUCUGCAAAGGUGUAAUCUUUGGAAGACUUCAGAAGAUCACCAAGGGCUCAUAGACUGCACAGUUCCAGCAAGAUUGGGAGUCAGGCAUGGAGCAGGCAUCUCAGGCUACCAGAAAGAAUUGGUCACCUAGACUUUC